UGACGACGAAGCUCGGCGGAUGGCAGCCUCCCUUCCGUUACUUUUACUCGGAGUUGAUGUACCUUAGUUCCCGCCCCAAUCCAUAUAUGGUUCUGGCAGUCACCCUUCAUCCCUUCAGCAGCCAUGGCUCUUUCCUAGGGAAUUUUAGGCCUCGCCGGUGCGAAUCGCUCUACUGGGGCAGGAUUCUAUGUGAGGCUUCAAGGCUGUAAUGGCCUGAUCAGGAUCAGGGGCUGUGCGCGGAUACCUCCGGCCUCA